rnacentral:rRNA from 1 species
GACGAACGCUGGCGGCGUGCUUAACACAUGCAAGUCGAACGGUGAAGGGACCAGCUUGCUGGUUCUGGAUGAGUGGCGAACGGGUGAGUAACACGUGAGUAACCUGCCCCCUUCUUCUGGAUAACCGCAUGAAAGUGUGGCUAAUACGGGAUAUUCUGGGUCUGUCGCAUGGCGGGCCCGGGAAAGAUAUUGCUUCGGUGGGGGAUGGGCUCGCGGCCUAUCAGCUUGUUGGUGGGGUGAUGGCCUACCAAGGCGGUGACGGGUAGCCGGCCUGAGAGGGGGGACGGUCACACUGGGACUGAGACACGGCCCAGACUCCUACGGGAGGCAGCAGUGGGGAAUAUUGCACAAUGGGCGCCAGCCUGAUGCAGCGACGCCGCGUGAGGGAUGGAGGCCUUCGGGUUGUAAACCUCUUUCGCCAGUGAAGCAGGCCUGCUCCUUGUGGGUGGGUUGACGGUAGCUGGAUAAGAAGCGCCGGCUAACUACGUG